UACGGGAGGCAGCAGUGGGGAAGUAUUGCACAAUGGGCGCAAGCCUGAUGCAGCCAUGCCGCGUGUAUGAAAAAGGCCUUCGGGUUGUAAAGUACUUUCAGUCGUGAGGAAGGUGUUAAGGUUAAUAACCUUAGCAAUUGACGUUAGCGACAGAAGAAGCACCGGCUAACUCCGUGCCAGCAGCCGCGGUAAUACGGAGGGUGCGAGCGUUAAUCGGAAUUACUGGGCGUAAAGGGCACGCAGGCGGUUAAUUAAGUUGGAUGUGAAAUCCCCGGGCUUAACCUGGGAAUGGCAUUCAAGACUGGUUAGCUAGAGUCUUGUAGAGGGGGUAGAAUUCCAUGUGUAGCGGUGAAAUGCGUAGAGAUGUGGAGGAUACCGGUGGCGAAGGCGGCCCCUGGACAAAGACUGACGCUCAUGUGCGAAAGCGUGGGGAGCAAACGAGGGAUUAGAUACC
rnacentral:rRNA from 1 species